rnacentral:ncRNA from 1 species
UAUAUGGCGAUGAUAAAGAGGAGUAAGGAAGAUGCCCUCUGGACAGAGAACCGGUGGUGGUGGGAAUCCGGUCAGGGGACUUCCUGAAGGGCGCUUUGGAGCCGCAGGAGGAAAGCCGUUGGCGAGUAAAGCCUGCAUUAUCACGAGAGGGCCUGUUGAGGCCAAUCAGGGUGGAACCGCGGGAAAAGCCCGUCCCUGUG